rnacentral:ncRNA from 1 species
CAGGUACAGACUGAGCAGGCGCGGUGCUUUAUCCGCGGCCGGGCCUCUUGGCAGUGGAUCAAAAUCCGCAGGACAGCA